rnacentral:SRP_RNA from 1 species
GCUUGGGUUCCACGCAACGGAAACCCACGAACCCUGUCAGGUCCGGAAGGAAGCAGCAGUAAGUGGCCCCUUCCGUGUGCCGUGGAGUCGCCUGAGCCGA